UUUUUCAAGCAGUCACUGAACCAUGAAAAUGAGGUCAAGGCAAUUGCAUAUAAGGUAUGAAGCAUUCAGGUCUUCAACCUUCUGUAAUAUAAAAUUUUAUUUAAAAGUUUAUUAACCGUCUUGCAGGCGAGACAAAAAAUGAGAACCUACUCAUUAGGGUUCCAGCAAGGAUUUCAAAAGGACAGGGAUCCAAUAAUGAAUAGGCAAGUCUAAAAACUUCUGAAAAAGAGAAUGCGGACGGACCAUUAUUACUGGGGAAUUUAAGUGAAACUGCAAGCCACUGCUCAUUGACGAUACACCUCUCCCUAAAAAUAUUUUGGUAUACAGAAAGUGGACAAGUGAUUAUUCUGAAAAUGCAUCAAACUGUAUAGCUAACUUAUACAAACCCUGAAAUCAAAUGUCAGAAGUCCUUGUAAUAUAGUUCCCGAGAAAAAUGGCAUGAAAAAUUUUACCUUGCUACUUAUGUGAAAAUUAUGCAAGUGUUCGAAGUUGAUGAGUGAAUCUGAGAACUCAUCACGGUGUAUAGAUGUAUUAUAUAGCCAACUAAUAUAAACCCAGAAACCUUAAUUUCAGAAAUCCUUGUAAAGUAGUUCCUAAUGAAGCAAAAAUAUUCAUGGGACAGACAGACAAAGGUAAAACAGCAUACCCCCACUUUUUUAAAGCAGGGGUAGACCUAAUAUUGUCAAUUAAGAGGUUUACUUUUAUUGACAAAUAAUUUAUGACCCAUUUGAAGAUGACAAGUAGAUUAUUAAUUAUAACUUAUCACACUUGCUAAUCAUCCAACUUUUUAGGGCAAGGAACAUAAACUUGUCAGAAACAUGGACGGGUAGAAUUAUAGUAUUUUCAUAAAAAUAAUAUGCCAACGAAGGCAUGGACUUGCAAAAUAUGGCAGAGCGUCAGAAAAAGGACAGCAAUCAAACUGAAACACUACAUUAUAUACAAUAAAUAGUCCA
rnacentral:lncRNA from 1 species